rnacentral:rRNA from 1 species
GAACGAAAGUUCGACUAAGUCAUAUUAAAUAAGGGUUGGUAAAUUUCGUGCCAGCCACCGCGGUCAUACGAUUAACCCAAAUUAAUAAACCCUCCGGCGUAAAGCGUGUCAAAGACUAAUACCAAAAUAAAGUUAAAACCCAGUUAAGCCGUAAAAAGCUACAACCAAAGUAAAAUAGACUACGAAAGUGACUUUAAUACCUCUGACUACACGAUAGCUAAGACCCAAACUGGGAUUAGAUACCCCACUAUGCUUAGCCCUAAACUAAAAUAGCUUACCACAACAAAGCUAUUCGCCAGAGUACUACUAGCAACAGCCUAAAACUCAAAGGACUUGGCGGU